CUAACUUCACCUAAAAAAAAAAAAGUUAUGUGAGGAUGCUUGUAAAGAGUUUCAAAGGAAGUAAAAUGGGUAGAAGCUAAACUGACAAAACUGGAGACAACCCAAAAAUCCACUAGUAGGCACUGGCUGAAUAAAGUGUGGCUCAUUUACAUAAUGGAAGAAUACACAGCUCUACCAUGAAAUAAGGAAAAACUACGUAAACUACUAUCAAAUCUUCAGGAUACAAAAUAAUCUGAAAAAACAAGCAAAGAAAAUGUAUACUGUUUGGUGUUAUUUAUCUACAUAAAUGGUUGGGUUCUGAUCUCCUAAGACUGGCGUCACUACAAGAAGAGACACCGGAGAGCUCUCUUUCUCUCCAUCUCUUUUCCUCUCUCUUGCAAGCACUCCCGCCAGCUGCCCACAAUAUGAGGACAGUGAGAAGACUGUCACCUGCAAGCCAUGAAGCGAGUCCUCACCAGAAAUGGAGCCUGUCAGACCUUGGUCUGAGACUUCUAGCCUCUGGAACUUUCUGAAAAUAAACUUCUGUUGUUUAAACCAUCCACUGUAUGGUAUUUUCCCACGGCAGGUUGAGGUAAUACAGAGCUUUACUGUCAUCCUCAGAAGCAUCAACUGGAUUUGUAUACAUUAUGAUGAAAAAGACCUGAAAAUUUCACACAGAUUAAAUGCUUUCACUUAUUUCUCAGUUUUAUACUAGUGCUUUCUUUAGACUCUUCAAAUUGCAUGUCCUUCCUUAUGUUCCCUGGGCAUUGACUUAUUAGUUCCUGGGUAAAAUUUAACAAAGGCUAUGCCACAGGUCUAGGAUUAGUCAUUUUCACAAUCUUGGAUUUCUCAAUAACUAUGACUACAUUCCCCUUAAAUAUGAGUUCCUUAGAAAAUCUGUUUUUAUUAUUUGGACAUAGUGCCUGGUGAUAAUAGACAGCCUAUGCUUUUUUGUCUUUCCCCUGAACUAGAAUUCAAAUGAAGGAUAUGCUAAACACAGCUGUUGCUGUGUAUAAUGACAUUCAGUAUGUGGAUGCUGCAUCCAGAUUCCAUUUUAAGGCAGCCAUCUGUCCUUUAGCAAGCAAAAUAACAGAAGAUUUAUACCUUAAUAAAAUCACACACAUAAGUGCACCCCACACUCCUUCAUGUGCCCUCCAUGUAAUUUCACAUUUGUUAGUGAAUUUUCUGUAGUAUUUUUCUAGCUUUAAGACUAUUUGAGGUGAAGUUCUGGACCUGCUAAGCCUGAGCACAAGGGUUUUAGCAUAAUAUAUUUGGACUCAUGAUUUUCAGUAAAUCUUCAUAGAUUGACAUGAAUGUCAUGAAAUUUAAAAGAUUAAGAAACAUUCCUUCUCUAUUUUUCCAGGCCUGUACAGACUAAUAUUUGUUUAGCACUGCAGAGCUUAUAAAACCUUCUCCCUUCUUAUUUAAUUUAUAUAUCCAGACCUACCUGCGGAGUUGCUUAAGGUCAGAAAAUCCACUAGCAAAGAAGCCAGGGCUCAAAAUAAUAGGUUAUUUCUCCAAAUUCCUUGGUUUUCUCAUCAUCCUGCACAGUCACCUAUUAAGCUAUGUACUGAAUUAUUCUAUAUUAUUUUACUUAAUUAUUGAUAAUAAUACUUUAUUGAACCUUUAUUUUGUGCCAUGCAUUUUUACUUUAUAUUUUGAAUAAGUAAUUCUGCUUAAUCCUUACAAUAACCUGAUGAUGUAGACACCGUUUUUAAAAAUAUACUCUCUAAUAUAAGAAGUUAUAGAAACAAUUGUCUACAUGCAGAAUAUAUGCCCACAUUCUUUCUCAAAUACAAAUGAACAGAAUCACUUUAUUUUUCUUUUUGUAGUAAAGAAAAUUUAAUAAUUUUUUAAAGUUAGUGUAACAAAUUUACUAUGUUUUAAAAAGUAAAGUUUUAAAACUGUAUAAACUCAGAACACUAAUUUGUUUGCUAAUUAAUUUGCAUUUCUAAAUGAUACUGUCCUCUUCUUUUAACUUCCUGUUAACUCAAGUUAAUAUUUGACUUUUCUAUUUGACUUUCAUAAUUCUGAAGCAUAAAAGUAUAAAAAUAUUGGGUAGGAACUAUUUUUCAUCCUCCAUAUAAUAAAACAUUUCAACUAGUUGACCUUUCACUCAGUAAGUAAUAUUGAGUGUCUAUCAUGUGCUGGACACUGUUAUGAGCACCAGAACUAAAGCAGAGAAAACACAGACCAAAAAACCUCCCCUCAUACAGUGUCUUCUCUAGUGGAGUCAUCGAUUGUUUUCAUGCAUUACUAUUCUCUUGUCAUUGUAUGAAAAGCUGGCAUAUCUUUCUGUUGGUGAUCUGGAAGGUGAUUGGGUCAUUUAUAAACAUGUGUAUUCUAGAGCCCUGCUACUCAAAUUGCAACCUACAGACCACCAGCACUGACAUCAUUUUGUUAGAGAUGCCAAACCUCAGGGCCCAUAACAGAUCUACUGAAUACAAAUCUACAUUUAAACUAGAUCCCAAGGUAAUUUUUGUUCACACUGAAAUUUAAGAAGUGCUACUGUAUAGGUAUUCGAUAAAUGUUUUCACCUGAGAUAUGUUUAUCUCUAGGUGGUCCUCAAACCACCUUUGUGAUAUACAAAUGCAUCAAAAUGUGUCUUCAAUUUGACCAUAACACAUUCAGUCUCUCUUACAGUUGCAAAGAGCCAACAACUAAUGAUUUUUUUAUUGAAUGAAUAAAAAAUGAUCAAACAAAUUUCACUUAUACUAUAUAUUUAAAAAGUAACUUCAAUUAAGUUAGCAAUUUUGAAUUAUGCAAUUUAUUACAAUGGGGAACAAUAUACUCUGUUCACAUAAAAUCCUUUUUUUAUCUAUACACUGUAGAACCUGAUAUAUAAUGAAUGCUAAAGCUGUCAAAAGUUAAGUAUUCCCCUAAACUUAAAAAUAUAGACAUCUAUGUUACGUUCCUGUCUACCUGUAUUUCUUGACAUUGUUAAAAAAAAAAGGAUAAGCUUUUUUUAAACUAAUAUACCACUGCUUCUACAGAAAUUGACGUAUAACCCACAGAAAUAUAUUCGCUGUUUGCCUUACCUUUUGCACUCUACAUACCAAGCAAACAAAAUUUGCACACACUUGCACUAGCAGCUUUGCAUCUAUCUAUUUUUAGGACAGACAGCUACAUCUUUCUCUCUGCACUGCAGGGAAACUGAACAUUUGUGGGAAAGUGUAGUGCAUUAAUCCUGUUUAAUAUUCCAGGACUCACACAGACAAUUAAUUGUGUACUGAAAAGGCAGACUAAUAAAUUUUUCUUCUUCAAAACACAGUAAAUAAGUUUAAUUGUAUUUUUCUCACAAACUGUUGUAAGAUCAAAUAGAUAAAUCAAAUAAAUUGUGAAAAUGACCAAUGUUUGAAUGUCAUAUUCUUUCCUUAUUAUAUUUUUUCUUCCAUGUGUAAUUUGCUUAUUGUAAUCAAUUUUUGAAAAGUUGAAAAAAAAGUGCAACAAAAUGUAUAAAUUAUAUGUGUUCUAUGAUUCUGCACCAUGAAAAUAUAUGUAACUUUUUAUCUGUGGCAUGAUUAUGAAACCUUUUGAGUGUAAAUCUGUUUUUUUAACUUUUUAUUUUGUAAUAAAUAAAGACCUAGAGAAGAUAGCAAAGAGGGGAAAAGACAGUCCCAUAUAUCCAUCACCUGGUCCCAUCUUAGCUUUCCCUAAUACUAGCAUCUUCAUAACCAUGGGACAAUAAUCACACUUAAGAUACUGGCAUUGAUAUACUGCUACUAAUUAAGCUACAGACAUUGUUCAGAUUUUCUCAGUUUUUCUACUUAUGUGUUUCCUAUUUUUAUGUUUAGGAUCAAAUCUAAGCUAUCAUAUUAUGUAUAGUUGGCAAGUAUUCAUUGUCUUCUCUAAUUUGUGACAUUUUCUCCAUCUUUGUUUUUCAUGGCCUGGCUUUUUUUUAAAGAAUACUUGCAGUUGUGUAAUUAAAUGUCCUUCAAUUUAUUUUUGGCUGCUGUUUUCUCAUAUUAGAUGUAGGGUAUGCAUUUUGGGGAAGCAUAGCAUAGAAAUGAUAUGCCCUUCUCCUUCCCUUCUUCUUCUUUGUGUCAGGGAAUACAUGAUAAUCACUGUCUUACUACUGGUAAUGUUAACCUUGAUAUCUUGGUAAAAGCAGCAUCCAUUAGGUUCCUUCUCUCCACUGUAGAGUUGCUUUUUUUAAACCUGCUGUACUCUAUUAGAAGUGAGAAAGUAAGUACACAGCCCAUACCCAAAGACAGGGAAAUCAAGCUCACCUCUUGAAGGAACCAUAGAAGUCACCAUAUUAGCAAAUAUUUUAGAGAAGAAGCUUUAAGGACAUGCAAAUAUCCUAUUUCUUCUUAAAGUUUCUUAAGUUUCUUCCACUAAUUCUAGCAGUCGUCUCUUGCAUGCGGCAUUGUUUACUGUGAUGCUUUUGGGGUGAUUUUUGUACUCCUUCACUCCUACAUGUAUUCGAAUUCUUCUGGAAGUUAAAGUUGCUCCUUUCUCCUGACUUAUUUAUUGACUUAUUUUCUUAUAUCGCUAUAGAUUCAAGAGAAUUUUAUUCUUUGAGUUAUAAUCCAAGACUGUCAUUAUGUACUUUAUGGCUCAAAUUGUUCCUGAGUUAAUCUGUGGGAACUUUUUCUAGUUGACUUCUGUGUGGUGGUCCUCCUGCUCUUCUGCCUCCUUCUCCUCCUCCUCUUCCACUUCCUCCUCCUCCUCCUCCAUUGGCUUCUGGGUGGUGAUCCUCCUGCUCCUCCUCCUUUCUCCUCCCUCUUUUCCCUCCCCUUUCUUCCUCCUCCCGUUCUCCUUCUCCUUCCCCUUCUCUCUCCUCUUUCUCCUUUUUCUCUCCUCUUGUCAAUUAGUAUAUUUUAAAGAUUCUACCUUACCUCCUGGCUUGGCAACUUGUUUUGGGUUUGUCUUGUCUUUCCCUGCUACAACCCUAGCACCAAUAGUUUCUCCAAGAAACCCUGGUUCAAUUAAUUAGAGAAUUAUAUUUAGAAACUAUAAUAUGGGUUCUAGGUGUUUUCUUUGCUGGUGGGGAGCCUGCUUCUAGGUUCUCCGUGUUUUGGACUAAGAAAUGUAUAUAUGUAUACUAAGUCAUAUAUAUACACAUAUCUGUGCCUAUUUCUGUAUCUAUGCAUAUAUUAUAAUAAACGUGUUCAUACUGAUAUCUCCAAGUUCAACCCAGCACUACAUCUAUCAUUCCCCUUUAUUUACAACCUCUUUCUCCUACAGUAAAAAAAUGUGGCUCACAUUAUCUAUAUUAUAUUUAAACAUUUGUUCAACAAUAAUAUGUUAAGUAUAGUGGUUCAGAAUUGCUGAUCUAUAACCUUUAGGCUAUUUUUUUUCACAAAGGCACAGUAUUUGGAUACAAUCAUACUUGCCUUUUGUCUUACGGUAUCUAGUAAAAAAAAACCACCAUUUUAUGAGUUACUUGAGGUAGCUUUUUUAUUCUCCUCUUGCUUCACUGUGAUUAUAUCACACAUUAGCAAUAUAGUCAGAUAUAUUGGCCAAAGUCUGUAUUUCGUAUUAGGUUUCUCCGGUCAAUUGGGUUUCUCAAAACUUUGUAUACAGUAAAAUUCACUCUUUUGGGUGGAUAGUUCCGUAUGUUUGACAAACGCAUUGAUAUAUGUGUCUACCACCACAAUAUCAUACGGAAUAACUUUAUUAUCUCCAAAAGGCUCUUGUGUUGCUUCUUUGUAGUCAACUCGUCUUCCUGCAUUCAAUUCUUAGCAAUCACUGACUUGUUUUCUGUCUCUAUAGUUUGCCUUUUCAGAAUGUCAUAUAAUUGAAAUCAUACAAUUGGGGCUUGUUCCUUUCAUGGUAAAAUGCAUUGAAAAUGCAUCCAUGUUGUGUAAAUCCAUGUUAAUUAUUUUUUAUAG
rnacentral:lncRNA from 10 species